AACGAACGCUGGCGGCAGGCCUAACACAUGCAAGUCGAGCGGGACCUUCGGGUCUAGCGGCGGACGGGUUAGUAACGCGUGGGAACGUGCCCAAAGGUACGGAAUAGCCUCGGGAAACUGAGAGUAAUACCGUAUGUGCCCCUCGGGGGAAAGAUUUAUCGCCUUUGGAUCGGCCCGCGUUGGAUUAGGUAGUUGGUGGGGUAAUGGCCUACCAAGCCGACGAUCCAUAGCUGGUUUGAGAGGAUGAUCAGCAACACUGGGACUGAGACACGGCCCAGACUCCUACGGGAGGCAGCAGUGGGGAAUCUUAGACAAUGGGGGAAACCCUGAUCUAGCCAUGCCGCGUGAGCGAUGAAGGCCUUAGGGUUGUAAAGCUCUUUCAGAUGGGAAGAUAAUGACGGUACCAUCAGAAGAAGCCCCGGCUAACUCCGUG
rnacentral:rRNA from 1 species